GACAGAGGCCUCAAGCGUUAGGCGGAUUCACUGGGCUUAAAGCGUGUGUAGGCGGACUUCUAAGUGCCUUGUGAAAUCCCACGGCUCAACCGUGGAACUGCUGGGCAUACUGGGAGUCUUGGGCCAUUCAGGGGCAACUGGAACAAGCGGUGGAGCGGUGAAAUGCGUAGAUAUCGCUUGGAACGCCGAAGGUGAAAACAGGUUGCUGGGGAUGUGCCGACGCUGAGACACGAAAGCCAGGGGAGCAAACGGG
rnacentral:rRNA from 1 species